AGGGCGCACGGUGGAUGCCUUGGCACCAGGAACCGAUGAAGGACGUGGGAGGCCACGAUAGUCCCCGGGGAGCCGUCAACCAGGCUUUGAUCCGGGGGUUUCCGAAUGGGGAAACCCGGCAGUCGUCAUGGGCUGUCACCCGCUGCUGAACACAUAGGCAGUGUGGAGGGAACGAGGGGAAGUGAAACAUCUCAGUACCCUCAGGAAGAGAAAACAACCGUGAUUCCGGGAGUAGUGGCGAGCGAAACCGGAUGAGGCCAAACCGUAUACGUGUGAGACCCGGCAGGGGUUGCGUGUGCGGGGUUGUGGGAUCUCUCUUCUGUCGUCUGCCGGCGACAGGACGAGUCAGAAACCGUUGAUGUAGGCGAAGGACAUGCGAAAGGUCCGGCGUAGAGGGUAAGACCCCCGUAGUCGAAACAUCAGCGGCUCGUUUGAGAGACACCCAAGUAGCACGGGGCCCGAGAAAUCCCGUGUGAAUCUGGCGGGACCACCCGCUAAGCCUAAAUAUUCCCUGGUGACCGAUAGCGGAUAGUACCGUGAGGGAAUGGUGAAAAGUACCGCGGGAGCGGAGUGAAAUAGUACCUGAAACCGUGUGCCUACAAGCCGUGGGAGCGUCGCGCAUUGAGUUUACUCAGUGCGUCGUGACUGCGUGCCUUUUGAAGAAUGAGCCUGCGAGUUUGCGGUGUGUUGCGAGGUUAACCCGUGUGGGGAAGCCGUAGCGAAAGCGAGUCCGAAUAGGGCGAUUCAGUAGCGCGCUCAAGACCCGAAGCGGAGUGAUCUAGCCAUGGGCAGGUUGAAGCGGAGGUAAGACUUCGUGGAGGACCGAACCCACCAGGGUUGAAAACCUGGGGGAUGACCUGUGGUUAGGGGUGAAAGGCCAAUCAAACUCCGUGAUAGCUGGUUCUCCCCGAAAUGCAUUUAGGUGCAGCGUCGUGUGUUUCUUGCCGGAGGUAGAGCACUGGAUAGGCGAUGGGCCCUACCGGGUUACUGACCUUAGCCAAACUCCGAAUGCCGGUAAGUGAGAGCACGGCAGUGAGACUGUGGGGGAUAAGCUCCAUGGUCGAGAGGGAAACAGCCCAGAGCAUCGACUAAGGCCCCUAAGCGUACGCUAAGUGGGAAAGGAUGUGGAGUCGCAGAGACAACCAGGAGGUUGGCUUAGAAGCAGCCACCCUUGAAAGAGUGCGUAAUAGCUCACUGGUCUAGUGAUUCCGCGCCGACAAUGUAGCGGGGCUCAAGCGUACCGCCGAAGUCGUGUCAUUCAUACAAUAGGGCCAACGCCUGUAUGGAUGGGUAGGGGAGCGUCGUGUGCCGGGUGAAGCAGCCGCGGAAGCGAGUUGUGGACGGUUCACGAGUGAGAAUGCAGGCAUGAGUAGCGAUACAAACGUGAGAAACGUUUGCGCCGAUUGACUAAGGGUUCCUGGGUCAAGCUGAUCUGCCCAGGGUAAGUCGGGACCUAAGGCGAGGCCGACAGGCGUAGUCGAUGGAUAACCGGUUGAUAUUCCGGUACCCGCUGUGAAGCGUCAAACAUCGAGCAUCGUGAUGCUAAGGCCGUGAAGCCGUUCCGGACCCUUCGGGGAAUGGAAAGUGGUGGAGCCGCCGGCCCAAGCGGUUAGUAGGUGAGUGAUGGGGUGACGCAGGAAGGUAGUCCAGCCCAGGCGGUGGUUGUCCUGGGGUAAGGGUGUAGGACGCAAGGUAGGCAAAUCCGCCUUGCACAUAGUCUGAGACCUGAUGCCGAGCCGAUUGUGGUGAAGUGGAUGAUCCUAUGCUGUCGAGAAAAGCCUCUAGCGAGUUUCAUGGCGGCCCGUACCCUAAACCGACUCAGGUGGUCAGGUAGAGAAUACCGAGGCGUUCGGGUGAACUAUGGUUAAGGAACUCGGCAAAAUGCCCCCGUAACUUCGGGAGAAGGGGGGCCAUCACUGGUGAUCGGAUUUACUCCGUGAGCUGGGGGUGGCCGCAGAGACCAGCGAGAAGCGACUGUUUACUAAAAACACAGGUCCGUGCGAAGCCGUAAGGCGAUGUAUACGGACUGACGCCUGCCCGGUGCUGGAACGUUAAGGGGACCGGUUAGUCACUCUUCGGGGUGGCGAAGCUGAGAACUUAAGCGCCAGUAAACGGCGGUGGUAACUAUAACCAUCCUAAGGUAGCGAAAUUCCUUGUCGGGUAAGUUCCGACCUGCACGAAUGGCGUAACGACUUCUCGACUGUCUCAACCAUAGGCCCGGUGAAAUUGCACUACGAGUAAAGAUGCUCGUUUCGCGCAGCAGGACGGAAAGACCCCGGGACCUUUACUACAGUUUGAUAUUGGUGUUCGGUUCGGCUUGUGUAGGAUAGCUGGGAGACUUUGAAGCAUGCACGCCAGUGUGUGUGGAGUCGUCGUUGAAAUACCAGUCUGGUCGUGCUGGAUGUCUAACCUGGGUCCGUGAUCCGGAUCAGGGACAGUGUCUGAUGGGUAGUUUAACUGGGGCGGUUGCCUCCUAAAGAGUAACGGAGGCGCCCAAAGGUUCCCUCAGCCUGGUUGGCAAUCAGGUGUUGAGUGUAAGUGCACAAGGGAGCUUGACUGUGAGACCGACGGGUCGAGCAGGGACGAAAGUCGGGACUAGUGAUCCGGCGGUGGCUUGUGGAAGCGCCGUCGCUCAACGGAUAAAAGGUACCCCGGGGAUAACAGGCUGAUCUUCCCCAAGAGUCCAUAUCGACGGGAUGGUUUGGCACCUCGAUGUCGGCUCGUCGCAUCCUGGGGCUGGAGUCGGUCCCAAGGGUUGGGCUGUUCGCCCAUUAAAGCGGUACGCGAGCUGGGUUUAGAACGUCGUGAGACAGUUCGGUCCCUAUCCGCUGUGCGCGUAGGAAUAUUGAGAAGGGCUGUCCCUAGUACGAGAGGACCGGGACGGACGAACCUCUGGUGUGCCAGUUGUCCUGCCAAGGGCAUGGCUGGUUGGCUACGUUCGGGAGGGAUAACCGCUGAAAGCAUCUAAGCGGGAAGCCUGCUUCGAGAUGAGUAUUCCCACCUCCUUGA
rnacentral:rRNA from 1 species